UACGAAGGGGGCUAGCGUUGCUCGGAAUUACUGGGCGUAAAGGGCGCGUAGGCGGCACUGUUAGUCAGGCGUGAAAGUCCUGGGCUCAACCUGGGAACUGCGCUUGAUACGGCAGAGCUAGAGGAUGGAAGAGGCUCGCGGAAUUCCCAGUGUAGAGGUGAAAUUCGUAGAUACUGGGAAGAACACCGGUGGCGAAGGCGGCGAGCUGGUCCAUUACUGACGCUGAGGCGCGACAGCGUGGGGAGCAAACAGG
rnacentral:rRNA from 1 species